AUUUCAAGAUGUAUGGUCAAAUGAUGUCUCAUACAAGUUACAUAGCUUCUAUUUUGUAUUACCAAGAAGACAAGUUGUGCUGCAACUGUUUAUGAGAUGCUUACUAUUACAUGUUUCACAAAUAUGUAAAAUAAACCCAACAGUACUUGGAGUGGACGAGCUUUAAUUCUCCAUUCAACACCUGGAAGUACUGGAAGAGUUAACAAAUCCCAUCGAGCAUGACUUCCAUUGUGACUGAU